rnacentral:rRNA from 1 species
GAUGAACGCUGGCGGCGUGCCUAAUACAUGCAAGCCGAGCGAAUGGACUAAGAGCUUGCUCUUAUGAAGUUAGCGGCGGACGGGUGAGUAACACGUGGGUAACCCGCCCAUAAGACUGGGAUAACCCCGGGAAACCGGGGCUAAUACCGGAUAACAUUUUGAACCGCAUGGUUCGAAAUUGAAAGGCGGCUUCGGCUGUCACUUAUGGAUGGACCCGCGUCGCAUUAGCUAGUUGGGGAGGUAACGGCUCACCAAGGCAACGAUGCGUACCCGACCUGAGAGGGUGAUCGGCCACACUGGGACUGAGACACGGCCCAGACUCCUACGGGAGGCAGCAGUAGGGAAUCUUCCGCAAUGGACGAAAGUCUGACGGAGCAACGCCGCGUGAGUGAUGAAGGCUUUCGGGUCGUAAAACUCUGUUGUUAGGGAAGAACAAGUGCUAGUUGAAUAAGCUGACACCUUGACGGUACCUAACCAGAAAGCCACGGCUAACUACGUGCCAGCAGCCGCCGUAA